UGAAUUCUGUGUCUCCCUCUCUCUCCCCAUCCCCCUGCUGGCACAUGCUCUCUCUCGCUCAAAAAUAAAUAAACAUUAAAAAAAUGUUUUUUAAAUCCAUCCUCUUAGAGGGUGUGUAUAUUGAUAAAGUUGCUUAUAAUUACUGAUUGUCCUUCAAAGAAAUUAUACCUAUUUACAUUCACACCAAAAAUAUACAACUUAGCGUCUAUUUCCUACAUUUUUGCAAGCACUGUGUCCUUAAACUUUUGGGCCUCUGAUAGAGAAAAAAUGGUAAUUCAUUUUGCUUUAUUUCAAAUUUAUUUUAUUACUCCCUUUGUGAGAUUGAGCAUCUUUCUAUAAAUUAUUGGUUCUUGCCCUUUUCUUUCUUUCUUUAUUUCUUUUUCUAUUGGUUCUUAGUCUUUUUCUAAUUGGUUUGUAAUGGUUCUUCAUAUAUUGUCAUUAGCCCUUUGUCUGUCAUGACGGUGGCUAGACCUAGCAGUAGAAGCUUGGUUAGGAGGUGAUUUCAGGAAUGAGGUGAGAAAUAUGGUGAUCUGAAUUAAGAUAAUGGCAGUGAGGAUUCACGGAAGGUUUAGGAGGUAGCAGGGACAGGAGUUGGCUAUUGACUGUCUAUGGGAGUUAAGGAGGAGGUAACAGUCCAGAAUGACUCCAAGCUUCCAGCUUGGAUAACUUCGUAGAUAGUCAUGCCAUUUCCUGUGAUUGGUAAGAGAACAGAAGAUACUGCUUGGCUGGGGAAGGAAGGAAGGGAGGGAUGGCGGGAGGGAGUAAUGAAGGAAGGAAGGAAGGGAAAGAAGGAAGGAAGGGAGGAAAAAAUGAAUUACAUUUUCCACAAAUUGAAUAUGAGUUACUUCAAGACAUCCAAAUGGAGAUACCUUGUGAGCAGUUGGAUAGAGUUCUGGAAGAGUUUCUGGAAGAGCUCUCAGCUCUGGAGGUACAGAUCUGGGAAUACACAGUGUAGAGAUAGUAUUCCUUUGUGUAGACAAGAUGGAUAUGAAAAAUGUAUCAAGUGAGGAAAAAAAGAAAAAAAUGUUGAGUUGAGAAGGUCCAUCAUAAAGAAAGAAAACUCUUAGGAAAAACUCUGGGCUUGUAUAUUUCUCCUGCUUCCUCAUGGCAUCAUUAACAAAAAGUGCACACAGAAAAAAGGUAUAAUGGGUUGAGUUCAUAUAUGAGAUCCAUAUACACAGCACGUAGAGAAUUCACAUGGGAAAUGAUACUGUGGAUUCUAUAGAGAGGUCAAAACUUAGAGCACGUAUGGAAUGGAGUAAUACAACUUGCUGGAAAACAGGCUAAAUGAACGUGGGAGAAAACAGGAAAUGCACCCUGAUGGUUAUCACUGGAAUACAGAGGUCUUAUCUGACCUACUGUGGUCAGAUAUGAAACACCCAGAAACUGGAUAAAAUGAGGGCCUAUAAAAAGAAUGUAUUGCCAGGAAAAUAAGAGACAAGAUUGUUAAUGGAUAAGAAUGCAAUAUUUAACUGGGAAACUUGUAUAAAAUUGUCAAAAGGGUGAAACAUGUUUGAAAGGAAAUUUUUGCCUUUAAAAGAAAAGGGACUUUAUCUUUCGAAUUCCUAGCCUAGUUUUAAAUUAUACAAAGUUAGCAGAAUUUGUCAUUUUCCAAGGAGCAGGGACAACUCAAAACAAAAUGAUCCAAAAUUCUUCCGCCAGACUCCACAGUAAAGCUGGUAGCCAGUCAUAUUUAUAUUCUCACAUAUUCUUUGUGUUUUGUAAAUGCCAGUCAUCCCUAGUCUCAUGUUUCAACUUCUUUCUAAUUGACCUGUAUCGUAACAACAUUCUUGUGAUUGAUACCUUAUGGAGAGACAACAUUAUGUUUAACAACCAGGCUUCCUAGGUUUAAAUCCUGGCUCUGCCUGACCCUUCCCUUUAUACUUCUGGAAGUUAUUUAACCUUUCUGUGUCUGGUUCCUCUUUAAAGAGGCAUAAUAACAGUACUUAACUCAUCCUUUUUCUUUUUUUGAGGAUUCAGUGAGCUAAUAUAUACAAAUUUUUUUGAAUAGUCUGUGGCACAAAGAGUCCUAUGUGUCAAGUAUCAUUUAUUAUUAUCAAUUAUUUUAACCUAUUAUAUUUUCUUAUAAGUCUCACAAUGAGCCUAUGAAAAAGAUAUUUUACAGAUAAGGAACAUACAGUUCAUAAAAUUUCGGGAACUUGUCUAAGACCAUACAACUAGUGAGGAAUAGAGUCAGGAUUCACUGGGUGGGUGCCUCUCAUACUCAUUCUAUCUUGCUGCAAUGUUUCCCUUUAUUUUAUUUUUUUUUUAACCUUCAAGAUUUUAAUUUAUAAUUUAAAUUGUAUCACAGAAAUCAUACAUAAUGUGUUUCCCUUUAUUUUAAAAAUCACAUCAAUGUGAAUCACUAAUUCCUAAUUAAUGUUCUCUAUUAUGUAGUUGCUGAGCACAUAUAAGUAAUUCGUAAGUUCCUUCAUUUAGUUCUAAUAACUAUGUAAAUCCUUUCACUUUUUUAUUUUAAGUAGAUAUGUGAGUACAGUUCAGGCCAGGCCUCUAAAGUUCCCUGAAAUGUGAUCCCUGGUCCAACUUGGUCUCCCCAUAGAGGAUACAUCCAAGAAUCAUGCCAGCCAUUGUGGGUCCCCCACAACUUCUAGCACACAUCUCAAAGUUCUGUCCUGGUGAAAACUUACCUUCAGAAUGCAGCUAUCAAUCUCCCUGGUGUGCCUUCUUCCUGUGACAUUCUACAUGGAGGUUUCAGAAGCAGAUAUACAUCUUAUCUCCACUGAAAUUAUUUCAUCACCCGAAUCCACUGAUUCAAAAAAUUCAGGUUGUCAACCAAUUAACAUCUCUGGUUCUUAGACAAUUUUCUGUGUUGGCUUUUGUCUGACAUGACUUUUCCUUGUCUCUCCCAUAACCUAAUCUUGAUUCCUACAGGGCCCAGGACAGAUGUCAUCCUCCAACCCCCACCAUUUCCAAAGGGAACAAAGGAGGAGAAUCUGCUCAAAGAGCACUGAAAGGAGAGACUUGGAAGGUGACGUUUAGGAAUAAUAAAGACUGAAAUCAACUGGACAAAUCAGAAGAGUUCAAGACUUCCAUGCUGUCACCCACAAGAAUCAAAAGGGAGUCCCAGAUUUCCACAUGAUCCAGAUAAGUCUGCUCCAUCCUGGCUUCCACGCCUUCAUCAGAGAGUAAAGAGAGGACCUGAAAAUUCUGUGUGCUCCUGACAAAACCCUCACCCUCUUUCCCCUCAACAACAUUCACAGCUUUGCCAUUAUGUUCUGUCUUGAGAUAACCGUAUCUAAUCUCACCGUGUCUUUUUCCCUUUUCAAGCUUAACAUGACAAGAAGCACAAGACUCCCAGUAUAUCCUUAAUCCCGUGGACUCUGAUCUCCCUAUGGCUCUUACCCUUCCUUUUCGGAUCCUAUUUACAACGCAUUCCCAAAUUCUGAAACCCUUCUACUGUGCCCUUUGGAACCUGCUAUCAAUCAUCAGCAAACCCCUUCUAUUCUCAAUUUCUGUUAACAUUUCCCUUACCUUCUUGCUCUAACUGAAAUUUGACUUUCCUCUGAGGACACUUCUUCCCCUAUAGCCCUUUCAAGUUUUCUUUCUAACAUCCUCCAUACAUUUGACAUAAGUGAAUUCCUUACUUCUCAUUAUGGCUUCCAGAUCAUUCUCUCUCCCUCCUCUCUGCACACUUCAAGCUUAAAAUCUCAUCCCAUUAGACUUUUCCAUUCACUACCUUCCAUGUUACAUUCUUCUAUUGCUCCCCACCACCAUCCCUUGAUUUUAGGUGCUGGUCCUGCCAAGCCAUUCAACAUUACUUCUGUCAUAAUUCUUGGUGUAUGAUCUACCCAUUGAGCUUCUUUGGACCUGGACCUUCUUUCCUUUAAGGAUCUUGUUUCCCAUUUUACCUUAGUCACCCGCUCCAUGGUUGGAACUUAGCUUUUGUCCUUAGCAUUAACCACAACCACUCCAUUAUCUCAAUUCCAAGCAUUGAAACUCUCCAACCACUGCCUUCUACCCCUCCAGCUCACUAUCUCUAGUACCUGACUCUAAGAACUCUUUGGCUGCCAUUAGGACCUGGACACCAAUGAUCCUACUGCUUCCUCACUGUCCUUUCCCCUGCUUUACAUCCCUUACCCUUUCUAACACAGCUUAGAUCCCAUGGGUGGUUACAUCAUCACUUUCUAGCACAUAUCUGUCUUCCUUUGUCACACCUAUAUGGCCAAACCCCAACAUCUGGCUAACCCUACUCUCCUCCCAUUCUGUGCCUAUACACAAGCAAUUGAAUGUGGCUGGAGAAAAACACACAACCAUACUAAGUAUUCUCACUUUAGAUUUACAACCAUAAACCUCAAAUAUGCCUUCUGUGCUACCCAGGAAGACUGUCAUGUUUAUUUAGUUAUUCUCCUCUCCUAGAUGACCAUUUCAUCCUUUCUCCUCAAACCUCCAAUACCAUCAUACCCAGCCUCACAUUCAGCUGAUAAACCUCCCAUUUCACUAAGAAAAUUAGAAGCAAGCAGAAGAGAAUUUCUACAAGCUCCCCAAACCACACUAUUCACUUUUGUCAUCAGUGCCUACAUACUCUGACUUACCUCUUUUGCAUAAUCUUACCUAGGCAAACCCUUCUACCUGUGCAUUAGACCCCAUCCUUUUGCCUACCAAGAGACAUUACUCAGCAAUUCUUCCCCCAUUCUACUUCAACUUUACCCUCUCCAUUUGUUCAUUAUCAACAUACAAACAAGCUGUUAUUCCUCUCAUCUAAACAAAGACAAAGAAAAGUGAAACCCUAAUUUUCUCAGCUAACACACAUUUCUCUGCUGCUCCCCUCUGAAACAAACUGUCCUCUGUGUUACCUCUCCAGUGAUCUAUUCUUAGUCCCCCAAAACUGCCUGUGUUCUUUCUCUCAAAUGAUCUCAUCUCAGUGCUCCUCUUAUUGACUUGUGUGCAGCUUUUGGCACAAGUGAUCACUCCUUCCUCCCUGAAACAUUUCCUUCGUUUGGCUUCCAGGUCACAACACAUUCCUCUUUUCCACUCUACUUUACUGUCCUUUCCUUCUCAUUUCCCUUUGCUGGUUUCUCUUAAUCUCUCUGACCUAAAAAUGUUGGAGGGUCCCAGGGUUCAGUUCCUGGACCUCUAAUCUUUUCCAUCUAUGACUGCUCCCUUGUAAGCACAUUUAGUCUUACAAUUUGAAAUACCAUCUAUAGAUUGACAACACUCAGUUGCAUGUUUCAAGCCUGGACUUCUCUCCUCAACUCCAAUUUCAUAUCCAACCAUCAAUUCAACAUGGCCCCUCAAAUGUCUGAAAUGGGCCUCUCUAACUUAACACAUCCAAAACAAAUUUCAGACUUUUGGAUCAGAAUAAAUGGUGACUCCACUCUCUCA